rnacentral:tRNA from 1 species
GGUGGCUCAGUGGUAGAGCGCUUGCUUUGCAUGCAUAAGGCCCUAGGUUCGAUUCCUCAGCACCA